UCCGAAUUGGUGUAGGGGUUAACAUUGCCGCCUCUCAAUAACGUAACGUGCACUGCGCCAGUAAUCGGGUCGCGGCAGCCCGGGGUUCGAUUCCCCGAUUCGGAA